rnacentral:tRNA from 1 species
GCCUACGUGGUGUAAUGGCCCGCACACUCGGCGCGUAUUCGAGAGGUCUGAGGUUCGAAUCCCGGCGAGGGCA